rnacentral:tRNA from 1 species
GGGGCUGCGGCUCAGUGGAAGAGCACCUGCCUUGCACGUGGGAGGCUCUGGGUUCAAUCCUCAGCCCCA